GACGAACCGUGCAAACGUUGUUCGGAUUCACUGGGCUUAAAGGGCGCGUAGGCGGGUUCUCAAGUCCGGGGUGAAAUCCUCUCGCUUAACGAGAGAACUGCCCCGGAUACUGAGGACCUCGAGGGCUGUAGAGGCAGACGGAAUUCCGGGUGUAGCGGUGGAAUGCGUAGAGAUCCGGAGGAAGACCGGUGGCGAAGGCGGUCUGCUGGGCAGUUUCUGACACUGAGGCGCGACAGCGUGGGGAGCAAACAGG
rnacentral:rRNA from 1 species